UUGGGCGCGGCUGAGGUAACCCCCGCCCGCUGAGGGGAGGCGGGCGCCGCCCCGGGGAGCUCCCGCUCCUCGCCCCAGGUGAGGCGCCCUGGGGGGCGGCAGACCCCUCAUCUCCCUCCCUGCCUGUCGGCGGGCGUUUCCUCAGGUCCUGGGGCAGCGGCGGGUUGCGAGGGGCGACCCCCCCCCCCCCCGCCCGGGCCGCCUGAUGGAGGAGACGGCGGGCGGCUUCUCCCCAGUUACUCCUGCCCGGGGGCAGCUGGCGCCGCUUCGUUUAGCUGCAGGCCUCCAAGGUGGGUGCGAGGAGGGCACCCUCCGUCCCCCAGCCCUGUCCCGGGGCCGUCAAGGAACCGAGAAGCUGGGAGGCUAUAGUUAAUAUCAGAACGGCAACCUGGAGCCAGUCCCUCUGCCACUACUGGCAAUGGCCUAGCAGAUGCCUAUGAAAUGGCAAGUGCACAGUGAUUCUUCCUUGGGGAGAUCUCCUCGUUCUAGAGACACGAGAUACUGGGACUUCCUGAACUACGUGCAGUGACUGGAGUGCUUCACAAUUUGAGCACAGAGGAAGCACCACUGAGGUGGCAGAUGAUUCUAAUAACACUUGAUGUGAAUUGAUGGGGAAGGAGGACCAUAACACAGAGGGCUUUUUAUUAUAAGCCUUGACUUCCCAAGCUGUGAACAACAG